AUACGUAGGGGGCGAGCGUUGUCCGGAAUGAUUGGGCGUAAAGGGCGCGUAGGCGGCCCGGUAAGUCUGGAGUGAAAGUCCUGCUUUUAAGGUGGGAAUUGCUUUGGAUACUGUCGGGCUUGAGUGCAGGAGAGGUAAGUGGAAUUCCCAGUGUAGCGGUGAAAUGCGUAGAGAUUGGGAGGAACACCAGUGGCGAAGGCGACUUACUGGACUGUAACUGACGCUGAGGCGCGAAAGUGUGGGGAGCAAACAGGAUUAGAUACCCUGGUAGUCCACACUGUAAACGAUGAAUGCUAGGUGUAGGGGGUAUCGACCCCUUCUGUGCCGCAGUUAACACAAUAAGCAUUCCGCCUGGGGAGUACGGCCGCAAGGUUGAAACUUAAAGGAAUUGACAGGG
rnacentral:rRNA from 1 species